rnacentral:rRNA from 1 species
CCUACGGGAGGCUGCAGUGAGGAAUCUUUGUCAAUGGGCGCUAGCCUGAACCAGCCAAGUAGCGUGAAGGAUCACUGCCCUAUGGUUUUUAAACGUCUUUUAUAUGGGAAUAAAGUGCAGUAUGUAUACUGCUUUGCAUGUACCUUAUGAAUAAGGAUCGGCUAACUCCGUGCCAGCAGCCGCGGUAAUACGGAGGAUCCGAGCGUUAUCCGGAGUUAUUGGGUUUAAAGGGAUCGUAGGCGGGUUGUUAAGUCAGUUGUGAAAGUUUGCGGCUCAACAGUAAAAUUGCAGGUGAUACUGGCAUCCUUGAGUACAGUAGAGGUAGGUGGAAUUCGUGGUGUAGCGGUGAAAUGCUUAGAUAUUACGAAGAACUCCGAUUGCGAAGGCAGCCUGCUGGACUGUAACUGACGCUGAUGCUCGAAAGUGUAGGUAUCAAACAGGAUUAGAUACCCCGGUAGUC